UACGUAGGGGGCGAGCGUUGCUCGGAAUCACUGGGCGUAAAGGGUGCGUAGGCGGGUCUUUAAGUCAGGGGUGAAAUCCUGGAGCUCAACUCCAGAACUGCCUUUGAUACUGAAGAUCUUGAGUUCGGGAGAGGUGAGUGGAACUGCGAGUGUAGAGGUGAAAUUCGUAGAUAUUCGCAAGAACACCAGUGGCGAAGGCGGCUCACUGGCCCGAUACUGACGCUGAGGCACGAAAGCGUGGGGAGCAAACAGGGAU
rnacentral:rRNA from 1 species